AGUUUCAUGAAAGACUGUUCUGUCUCAGGAAUGCCAUGUGGAAGUACAGCCCAGACCCUUUGCAGAACAUGGGCACAGCCUUUUCGUUUGAAGCCUACUGUUCUUGAAGAAUAACCAAACCUCAUUGUGUCAGUUAACUUCUUUUUAUAAUCUUUUUUUUUUUUUUUAAUUGGUUUAGCUAUUUUGCUUCUCUUAAAAAUACUGCUGGGCUGUAAACUCUGAAAGUAAAAUGUCUGGAUUUCUUAAAUGUAGUUUAUCCUUUAAUAAAAAGCAGGAAUUUACAUUAAAGAAACUACAGCUUUAUUUGAUAUUUCUACCUUUGUUAGGAGGGUACCGAGAUUUCUCUCCAUAAAGUUACUGGGCUCACAUUUGGACAUAGAGUAUAUAAGAAAAUUUUCAUUCUUUCUUGGGCUCUGUUAUAAAUACAAAGUCUUUGGCAUUUGAAAUCAGAUGUUCAUAGUGAAUUAUGUUACUGGAAUAUGCACAAUGAAUACAGAGCAAUCCUAUUA